ACGGAAGGCAGCAGUGAGGAAUAUUGGUCAAUGGACGGAAGUCUGAACCAGCCAAGUCGCGUGAAGGAUGAAGGUAUUAUGUAUUGUAAACUUCUUUAGCAGUGGAGUAAUAAGGGGAUCGCGAUCCCUGAUGCAAGUACACUGAGAAUAAGGAUCGGCUAACUCCGUGCCAGCAGCCGCGGUAAUACGGAGGAUCCGAGCGUUAUCCGGAUUUAUUGGGUUUAAAGGGUGCGCAGGCGGCUUUUUAAGUCAGUGGUUACAUCGUGACGCUCAACGUCAUCACGCCAUUGAUACUGGAGAGCUUGAUUGCGGUCGAGGUUUGCGGAAUUCGUUGUGUAGCGGUGAAAUGCAUAGAUAUGACGAAGAACACCGAUUGCGUAGGCAGCAGACCAGGCCGUAAAUGACGCUCAUGCACGAAAGUGCGGGGAUCGAACAGGAUUAGAUACCCUGGUA
rnacentral:rRNA from 1 species